rnacentral:ncRNA from 1 species
CCGGACACUUUGGAGCGGCUGCACCGUAAAGCAACCGCACCCCAUGCACAA